AUUGAACGCUGGCGGCAGGCCUAACACAUGCAAGUCGAGCGGAUGAAGAGAGCUUGCUCUCUGAUUUAGCGGCGGACGGGUGAGUAAUGCCUAGGAAUCUGCCUGGUAGCGGGGGAUAACGUCCGGAAACGGGCGCUAAUACCGCAUACGUCCUACGGGAGAAAGCAGGGGACCUUCGGGCCUUGCGCUAUCAGAUGAGCCUAGGUCGGAUUAGCUAGUUGGUGAGGUAAUGGCUCACCGAGGCUACGAUCCGUAACUGGUCUGAGAGGAUGAUCAGUAACACUGGACCUGAGACACGGUCCAGACUCCUACGGGAGGCAGCAGUGGGGAAUAUUGGACAAUGGGCGAAAGCCUGAUCCAGCCAUGCCGCGUGUGUGAAGAAGGUCUUCGGAUUGUAAAGCACUUUAAGUUGGGAGGAAGGGCAGUAAGUUAAUACCUUGCUGUUUUGACGUUACCGACAGAAUAAGCACCGGCUAACUUCGUGCCAGCAGCCGCCGUAACAC
rnacentral:rRNA from 1 species